UGCAAUGGACUCUUGCAGAGUUAUGAAAAUUCCUGCACAAAAAGUCAGUAAAUCAAAAUAAAAAGAUUGGUAAAGUCCGGUAGUGAACAUUAAGAUUAGACUGAUGAAUUCACUCUUGCUACAAGUAAGUAAUUAAUAUGAAGACCUAGUAAACACUUCAUCCUGGGGUUAAGGAGAACAAGCAGCUGAAAAAAAAAAAAAGUAUUUUUCAUUUUUCCCUGCCCACAUAUGCCAUCUCUAAAGGGAGAGAAAAUGGAGCUUUCAAGGAUUUUUUUCCCCUGUUCUUCAAUCUGUUUGACUGAAGAUGACUCUGGCUCUGUGCAGUGAGGGCCAUCUCCCACCCCCAGAUCAAUAUUUUAAUAUGUCUUAUCAGAAAGAGAAUGAAUUGUUUACUUUAAAACCUCAGGAUCCCAUAAAGGGCAAGGCAAAGGUGUCCACUGGAAACAGAGGCUUUCAACAGCUGACCACUGCUGUGACUCGUAAAAGAAAACCAAGAUCUGCAAUGAUCAGAAUACAGUGAUAGUCAUCAAAAUGUCAUACAACAGAAUCUCAGUUCUGACACAUCCUAACGACACACCAUGGGAUCGUUUGCUAGUCGUGUGAGAUGAUCUUUGAAGUCUCCAUGCUGAAGUCUGCAUGUGUACAUAUUACUUCUUCCAUGGACUAACAGUCUACUAGGAGAGCUGUGGAGUGUGACAAUGGUGUUUGUGUCCAAUCUAUCAAACGCCAUUAUCACACUAAAUAGCUACUGGUAGAUCAGACAUCAAUUCAGAAAAGUAUAUGAACCGUAGCAAUACAUUCUCCUACUGUGCUGUGGAAUAAAUAAGCUUUCUACAUGUUAGGAUGACUCCUUUUACAAGUAACCCCACAAUAAUACGUGGGAAAUACAUAAGUGUGCAUUUCCAGAUUCGCAUUGUAAAGCACACAAGAAUCAUCUGAAUCACAGAAUCAUAGAAUUCUGAAGGGAUCAUAACACCAGUGUUGGCAAAGUGGAUUUCAUUGCAGUCGAUGCAGCUGUAAUUACUCUACCUCUGAAAAACAAGGCUGGCUUGGGAUUUUCAUUUGCCUGUUGGAUUGACCAUGACAAUAGAGUACUGAAGCCAGUUACCUGAUGUAGUCAAACCCUGGCUCUUAUUUUGGCACGCCAUUCAAACAUACAGGUUUCGAACAUUAAUUGACUGAGAUGCUUGUAACACUUUUCAAACAGAACACCUUUCAAAAUGUUGAUAAAAAGCUAUUACACCCAACUGGAAACAACAAUUAUUCACGUUUCAAAUGCUUGCAGCUUUGUUCCCUUCCAUAUCACAACUGUAUAUACAAUUUCAGCACUACGCUCAAGUCCACCAUUUUAUGUUCUGAACCUGCUGUUUCGGGAAGGGACAUAAUUUCCACAUAGAAGUUCUCCUGAAAGCUUUUGUGAAGAAUAAGCAUCAACUGUGGGAACUUUCAAAGGGAUUAAUGAAAGCCAGGAACAAACAAUGUAACAGGGGGCCUAAAUUCCAUUAAAUAAUCCAAGAUUUAGGUUCACAGGAUAUUGUUUUCUGAUUUGCAAAGAGUGGUAACCAUAAUUCAGCAUGUUCAUGGUUCAUCAGCAUGUGCCAAAUUUCGAUUGUUAAGUAACCAGGCAUACGUAAUGAAUAGGAAGCUUCCUAUGGCUGUAUUUAA